AUUUCAGAUACCAAGGGAUUUCGGAUGACGCUAUCAGGUUAAGGUUUUUCCCACAUACGUUACGAGACAGAGCACUUGAAUGGUUGGAUUCACUCCUGGUUGCAAGUAUCACUACAUGGAAUGAGCUGGCACACAAAUUCUGCACAAAGUUCUUCUCCCCAACCAAGAUAGCAAAGCUGAGGCAUAAUAAAUCAGUAUUCAAUCAAGGAGAGAAUGAAUCAUUUGAUGAAGCCUGGAACAGAUUUAAAAACAUUCUCCGAAAAUGCCCUCAGCAUGGGUUCAAUAAAAAGACCCAGAUUCGAUUCUUCUACACAGGAUUACUUCCAUACCAUAAGAGCAUGGUGGAUUCAGCAUCAGAUGGCUCAAUAUCCACACGAACAGUUGAUGGGGCAUUGGAAUUAUUUGAGCGAAUGGCUACCACAUCAGCCAUGGGGUCUUCUGAGAGGGCUAUCCCAAAGAAAACUCCAGGAGUCUAUGAGGUGGACGUUUAUUCAGCAAUAUCUGCAAAAGUUGACUCUCCGUAUCACAAGGUGGAAAGCAUAUCACAAGCAUCACAAGCUAAGAGGAGCAAUUGUGAGGAAUGUGGAGCCGAGCACAAAACAUCAGAUUGUCCAAUACUCAUGCAAGGAAUUGAGCAAGCAGAUUACGCACAGUGGGGACAACACUAGCAACACAAUAAAUAUGGAUAGACUUUCAAUCCCAGCUGGAAGAAGCAUCCCAACUUCUCUUGGAGCAACCAGAAUCAGAAUAAGCCACAGGGGCAAUUUCAACAACAAGAGAAGAGACCUCAAUUGGAAGAUAUGAUAGGAAAAUUCAUGGAGAAGGCUGAAGCUACACUUCAAAAUCAAAAUGCAGCCAUAAAAAAUUUAGAAACUCGGAUGGGGUAGCUAGCCAUCACAUUGACUGGCAAAACGCCAGGUAACUUACCAAGUAAUACAGAAAUCAAUCCUAAAGAGCAAGCCAAGGCCAUUACAACUCGAAAUAGAGUGUAAUUUCCUGAAAUCCAUGUCAAGAGACCGGGUGUGAUUGGAGAAACAUCUUCCCCCACUGAAGAAGAGACUGUUGUAAAGGAAUCAAGUUCAAAGGAAAAUUCAGAAGACUCACAGGAUAAGGCCAAAGUCACAGUCAACCCCUACGAGCCUCCGAUUCCCUUCCUACAGCGUUUGAAGAAGCAAAAAGUGGAGCAACAAUACAAAAAAUUUCUAGAAGUCUUCAAAAAGCUCCAUAUCAACAUCCCACUAGCUGAUGUACUGUUCCAGAUGCCUAGCUACGUGAAAUUUCU
rnacentral:lncRNA from 1 species